rnacentral:rRNA from 1 species
CAGCAGCCACGGGAAUACGUAGGGUGCGAGCGUUAAUCGGAAUUACUGGGCGUAAAGCGUGCGCAGGCGGUUUUGUAAGACAGGCGUGAAAUCCCCGGGCUCAACCUGGGAAUGGCGCUUGUGACUGCAAAGCUAGAGUGCGGCAGAGGGGGAUGGAAUUCCGCGUGUAGCAGUGAAAUGCGUAGAUAUGCGGAGGAACACCGAUGGCGAAGGCAAUCCCCUGGGCCUGCACUGACGCUCAUGCACGAAAGCGUGGGGAGCAAACAGGAUUAGAUACCCCGGUAGUCCCUGUCUCUUAUAU